AGUUGCUCUUUAUUCUUAUCUCCAGGAAUUUUUUUCCUCAAAGAGAGGCUGUAGUGAUUUUCCUGGCAGGAUGUUGCUGUUGUAGCAGCAGAGGGCUGUGGGUCCUCACCAGAAAUGUCAGCCCUUUGCCAUGAGGCAGUGAGUCUGCAUCUGCAGUGCUUCUGAUGUGAGCUAUCAUGGCUUGGGGAGGAGAUUUUGUCAGGAGACAGCACUUUAGAGGCUUUCUAGGCAAGCAGCCACCAGGAAACAGCAGAGUCUCUACCUGGAAGUGGACAUAUCUUUAUCCCAGCUGGGUAUUCUCUCUGUGUUUUUGGUGAAUAUGAGGCUGUCCAUGUCUGCCCACUGGAUGGUGGUGAAUACAUGUCCCAUUGCCCACAUGGAUAAAUGGUUAAGAAUAGUUUGCAUGAUGCUGUACUGAACUUCCCACCUUGCUGUUUGCACAAGGGCUCCCCUCCAGCCUCCAAACA